AGCCCAGAGCCUGAAUCAGUGUGUGUGUUAGUGGAAGCGUCUGGAAAGGCGCGCGAUACAGGGUGACAGCCCCGUACACAAAAAUGCACAUGCUGUGAGCUCGAUGAGUAGGGCGGGACACGUGGUAUCCUGUCUGAAUAUGGGGGGACCAUCCUCCAAGGCUAAAUACUCCUGACUGACCGAUAGUGAACCAGUACCGUGAGGGAAAGGCGAAAAGAACCCCGGCGAGGGGAGUGAAAAAGAACCUGAAACCGUGUACGUACAAGCAGUGGGAGCACAGAGCAAUCUGUGUGACUGCGUACCUUUUGUAUAAUGGGUCAGCGACUUAUAUUCUGUAGCAAGGUUAACCGAAUAGGGGAGCCGAAGGGAAACCGAGUCUUAACUGGGCGUUAAGUUGCAGGGUAUAGACCCGAAACCCGGUGAUCUAGCCAUGGGCAGGUUGAAGGUUGGGUAACACUAACUGGAGGACCGAACCGACUAAUGUUGAAAAAUUAGCGGAUGACUUGUGGCUGGGGGUGAAAGGCCAAUCAAACCGGGAGAUAGCUGGUUCUCCCCGAAAGCUAUUUAGGUAGCGCCUCGUGAAUUCAUCUCCGGGGGUAGAGCACUGUUUCGGCAAGGGGGUCAUCCCGACUUACCAACCCGAUGCAAACUGCGAAUACCGGAGAAUGUUAUCACGGGAGACACACGGCGGGUGCUAACGUCCGUCGUGAAGAGGGAAACAACCCAGACCGCCAGCUAAGGUCCCAAAGUCAUGGUUAAGUGGGAAACGAUGUGGGAAGGCCCAGACAGCCAGGAUGUUGGCUUAGAAGCAGCCAUCAUUUAAAGAAAGCGUAAUAGCUCACUGGUCGAGUCGGCCUGCGCGGAAGAUGUAACGGGGCUAAACCAUGCACCGAAGCUGCGGCAGCGACGCUUAUGCGUUGUUGGGUAGGGGAGCGUUCUGUAAGCCUG
rnacentral:rRNA from 1 species